rnacentral:rRNA from 1 species
CCUACGGGGGGCAGCAGUGGGGAAUAUUGGACAAUGGGGGAAACCCUGAUCCAGCGACGCCGCGUGAGUGAAGAAGUAUUUCGGUACGUAAAGCUCUAUCAGCAGGAAAGAAAAUGACGGUACCUGACUAAGAAGCCCCGGCUAACUACGUGCCAGCAGCCGCGGUAAUACGUAGGGGGCAAGCGUUAUCCGGAUUUACUGGGUGUAAAGGGAGCGUAGACGGUAUGGCAAGUCUGAAGUGAAAGCCCAGGGCUUAACCCUGGGACUGCUUUGGAAACUGUUAGACUAGAGUGCUGGAGAGGCAA